ACACGGCUCUCGGCAAUGGAUAUCUCGGCUCUCGCAUCGAUGAAGAACAUAGCGAAAUGUGAUACCUGGUGUGAAUUGCAGAUUCCUGCAAACCAUCGAGUCUUUGAAUGCAAGUUGCGCCCGAGGCCUUCAGGCCGAGGGCACACCUGCCUAUGCGUCACAC
rnacentral:rRNA from 1 species